UACUUUAGUGCUGUGGCAAGUUAAUUCAAGAACUACUUGAGGGGCUUCCCUGGUGGCGCGGUGGUUGAGAAUCUGCCUGCCAAUGCAGGGGACACGGGUUCGAGCCCUGGUCUGGGAAGAUCCCACAUGCCGCGGAGCAACUAGGCCCACGAGCCACAAUUACUGAGCCUGCGCGUCUGGAGCCUGUGCUCCGCAACAAGAGAGGCCGCGAUAAUGAGAGGCCCGCGCACCGCGAUGAAGAGUGGCCCCCAGUUGCCACAACUAGAGAAAGCCCUCGCACAGAAACGAAGACCCAACACAGCCAUAAAUAAAUAAUUUUUUUUUUCUUUCUGUAAACAGAAGAACGGGAUUAUUGGAAAGAUGACAACGCAAGACUGAAGCAAAUACCCCGCAUGAAGAUCUGGGUGCUUGUGCCAGGUGGAGCUUGGCGACGGAGCCGAUACUCACCUUGCUCGGUUCCCUCGUGAGAUUUCGUUUGAAGAAGUUUGGCGCUGCUCAGUCGCCGUAGCUACACCCUUCGCGGAAGCGACCGGGAGCGUGGAGACCACAGUUUACUGAGUUGUCUCACUGGCUUACCGUUGAUGGCCAUGCCCAAGGCUCACUUUUACACCUUGAUUCGAGUCUGCAUUCGGAAUGCCCGCGGACUUCCUUGUGCCCAGUAAGCAAAGAAACUCGCCGUUGGCCUGGUGCUAGGAUAGCGUCACGGGUACACGCGCCUUUGUAGGGAGCAGGGGGCGGGGUGACAGGGGCACCAACCCUCCGGGAGAAGAGGGCCCCGCCUCCAGGCCACGCACCCCCCUGGUUGGAGGCAGCGCGGGGGCGGAGCAAGGUCCUGGCUCAAAGCCUAGGAGUGACCUUUCUUAUUACAAGGGCUUUCUUAUCUUUCAGCGCCCUGGAGGCUAGCCUUUCCGGGUUUCGGUGAGCCCCAGAAUUAAGGGGUACAACGUCAAAAGGCAGAUGUGGACAAAGGGCUAAGAGUGCAAGGGGCUGGUGACGGGACUGCGUUGGAGAUUUAGGCUUGAGUUACAGAGAGAUUUUCUUGCUCUGCCUGAGAGUUGAAACCAAACUUUCAGAGUUGUAGAGCCAUAGCUGUCUGUUUGGCAUCUCCAGCCGUAGCUUCACUUCGCUUACUGUAGGCAGUUUGCCCAAAAUUGAAAUCGUGUUCCCUCCAAAAGCUGAUCUUCUCCCACUAUUCCUUAUUUUGAUGAAUGGCCCACCAUAACCUAGAUUCUCAAGCCAGAAAUAUGGGGGUUAUUUCUGUCGUUCUUCUCGUACAUCCUAUUAAUCAAAAAGACCUAUUGACUCCAUUUCUAAAAAUAGGUAACUGAUAAGAACCUAUGUAUAGCAUAGGGACCUCUACUCGAUACUCUGUAAUGCCCUAUAUGGGAAAAGACUCUAAAAAAGAGUGACUAUAUGUAUAUGUAUAACUGAUUCACUUUGCUGUACAGCAGAAACUACACAACAUUGUAAAUCAACUAUACGCCAAUAAAAGUUAAUUUUAAAAAAAAUCUCCAAAUUACCCUCUCUUCAACAUUUCCUCUGCAUUACUUCUGGUCUCAAUUUUUCCCAAUAGGUUUCUAUCUGUUACCCCUGCCCACGUACAAUCAAUUCUCAAUUAUGGAGCAGAGUGAUCUUUCCAUGAUGUAAACAUUUCUCUGGAGUAAUCCUGCUUAAAAUAUUUUAAGCACAAAAUUCAAACACCUAAAUGUGCUCUGACUCUGCUUGCUUUCGUGCCCAACCCUGUCUCCAAUCUAGCUAGUACUUCUGUUGCCUGAAGAGUAUUCAGUAUAGUUCCCUGUGCUAUACAGUAGAACCUUGUUGUUUAUCCAUUUUAUAUAUAAUAGUUUACAUCUACUAACCCCAAACUCCCAAUCCAUCCCUCCCCACCCUCCUCCCUCUUUGCAACCACAAGUCUGCUCUAUGUCUGUGGGUCUGUUUCUGUUUUGUUGAUAGGUUCAUUUGUGUCAUAUUUUAGAUUCCACAUAUAAGUGAUAUCAUAUGGUAUUUGUCUUUUUCUUUCUGACUUACUUCACCUAGUAUGAGAAUCUCUAAGUCCAUCAACGUAGGAAGCAACAAAAUUAAGAACCAUUAAAAGAUACUGCCUAUGGGCAACUUGUGUGUCAACAUACGUUAAUGGGUGUUUUUUAUGUGCAUGUGCUUAGUUUGCUCUGCUCAACCUCUUUGUACUUACACUUUUUCUUAUCAGUUCCAGAGGAAAGAGAAAAGCUGGAAUAGAAAUUCAAAACAAUAAGAAAAUCAUACAUGGGUUGCUUUGUCUGUUAGUGCAUAGACUCUGGCUUGAGAAAAGGUUUUGAAAUUAAUUUUAGAAAAGAUUAUCAAAGAGAACUUUAAUAAUGCGCUUAAUAUUUGCAAUGUCUACAGCACAUAGCUCAUUGUGUUUACUUUUUCUGAUUUUGAUCAGCCUGGUUUAAUAAAUGAAAACUAUUAGGAUACUGGUUCAUUUAUGUUAGUUCAUUAGCUAUAAACAUUUGCAAACAUUUCUGUUAACCUCAGAAAUUAGAAUUUAAACUUGAUGUGAUGCAGUAUUAAUGUUUCUUAAUUUUUGUUGAGAAGAGAAAAAGAACUGCUUAUCUAUAGACGAUGUUGAAAGGUUUGUGAUUUUCCUGUGUCAUUUUAUGUAUUUUAUUUUUGCUAUUUCCUGAUUAUCUUUUUCAAUGCUUCUCGUUUUAUUUUGUUGUGAAUCAUUUCAUGGGAGAAGGCAUAGAUUUUUACCAAAAUUUGUUUCCAGGAACUUGACUUUUAUCAAUGAAACAUUUUAAAAAAACUUUUA